rnacentral:rRNA from 1 species
UAGAGUUUGAUCCUGGCUCAGGACGAACGCUGGCGGCGUGCUUAACACAUGCAAGUCGAGCGGUAAGGCCCCUUCGGGGGUACACGAGCGGCGAACGGGUGAGUAACACGUGAGCAAUCUGCCCAUCACUUCGGGAUAACUUCGGGAAACCGGAGCUAAUACCGAAUACGACCACUUCAGGCAUCUGAUGGUGGUGGAAAGUUCUGGCGGUGAUGGAUGAGCUCGCGGCCUAUCAGCUUGUUGGUGGGGUAAUGGCCUACCAAGGCUUCGACGGGUAGCCGGCCUGAGAGGGUGACCGGCCACACUGGGACUGAGACACGGCCCAGACUCCUACGGGAGGCAGCAGUGGGGAAUAUUGGACAAUGGGCGAAAGCCUGAUCCAGCAACGCCGCGUGAGGGAUGACGGCCUUCGGGUUGUAAACCUCUUUCAGCAGGGACGAAGCGCAAGUGACGGUACCUGCAGAAGAAGCACCGGCCAACUACGUGCCAGCAGCCGCGGUAAUACGUAGGGUGCGAGCGUUGUCCGGAAUUAUUGGGCGUAAAGGGCUCGUAGGCGGUCUGUCGCGUCGGGAGUGAAAACUCAGGGCUUAACCCUGAGCCUGCUUCCGAUACGGGCAGACUAGAGGUAUGCAGGGGAGAAUGGAAUUCCUGGUGUAGCGGUGAAAUGCGUAGAUAUCGGGAAGAACACCAGUGGCGAAGGCGCUCUACUGGGCCACAACUGACGCUGAGGGACGAAAGCUAGGGGAGCGAAAGGGAUUAGAUACCCCCGUAGUCCAAUCGAAUUCCCGCGGCC